rnacentral:rRNA from 1 species
GACGAACGCUGGCGGCGUGCUUAACACAUGCAAGUCGAACGGAAAGGCCCUGCUUUUGUGGGGUGCUCGAGUGGCGAACGGGUGAGUAACACGUGAGUAACCUGCCCUUGACUUUGGGAUAACUUCAGGAAACUGGGGCUAAUACCGGAUAGGAGCUCCUGCUGCAUGGUGGGGGUUGGAAAGUUUCGGCGGUUGGGGAUGGACUCGCGGCUUAUCAGCUUGUUGGUGGGGUAGUGGCUUACCAAGGCUUUGACGGGUAGCCGGCCUGAGAGGGUGACCGGCCACAUUGGGACUGAGAUACGGCCCAGACUCCUACGGGAGGCAGCAGUGGGGAAUAUUGCACAAUGGGCGGAAGCCUGAUGCAGCAACGCCGCGUGCGGGAUGACGGCCUUCGGGUUGUAAACCGCUUUCGCCUGUGACGAAGCGUGAGUGACGGUAAUGGGUAAAGAAGCACCGGCUAACCACGUGCCAGCAGCCGCGGUGAUACGUAGGGUGCGAGCGUUGUCCGGAUUUAUUGGGCGUAAAGGGCUCGUAGGUGGUUGAUCGCGUCGGAAGUGUAAUCUUGGGGCUUAACCCUGAGCGUGCUUUCGAUACGGGUUGACUUGAGGAAGGUAGGGGAGAAUGGAAUUCCUGGUGGAGCGGUGGAAUGCGCAGAUAUCAGGAGGAACACCAGUGGCGAAGGCGGUUCUCUGGGCCUUUCCUGACGCUGAGGAGCGAAAGCGUGGGGAGCGAACAGGCUUAGAUACCCUGGUAGUCCACGCUGUAAACGGUGGGUACUAGGUGUGGGGUCCAUUCCACGGGUUCCGUGCCGUAGCUAACGCUUUAAGUACCCCGCCUGGGGAGUACGGCCGCAAGGCUAAAACUCAAAGGAAUUGACGGGGCCCCGCACAAGCGGCGGAGCAUGCGGAUUAAUUCGAUGCAACGCGUAGAACCUUACCUGGGUUUGACAUGGAUCGGGAGCGCUCAGAGAUGGGUGUGCCUCUUUUGGGGUCGGUUCACAGGUGGUGCAUGGCUGUCGUCAGCUUGUGUCGUGAGAUGUUGGGUUAAGUCCCGCAACGAGCGCAACCCUUGUUCACUGUUGCCAGCACGUUAUGGUGGGGACUCAGUGGAGACCGCCGGGGUCAACUCGGAGGAAGGUGGGGAUGACGUCAAGUCAUCAUGCCCCUUAUGUCCAGGGCUUCACGCAUGCUACAAUGGCUGGUACAGAGAGUGGCGAGCCUGUGAGGGUGAGCGAAUCUCGGAAAGCCGGUCUCAGUUCGGAUUGGGGUCUGCAACUCGACCUCAUGAAGUCGGAGUCGCUAGUAAUCGCAGAUCAGCAACGCUGCGGUGAAUACGUUCCCGGGGCU